rnacentral:lncRNA from 1 species
GUGAGGAUUUGAGGUACAAAAAUAGGCCGUUGUGAAUUCUUGCUCAAGAGGUGAAAGAAUUGAGCAAUCGAGUCAUACCCUAUGUGAAUGUGGUAGGAAGAAAUUAUGGGGAGCAUAAGACAACUUCUGAGCCAGAAGCUGUGAUGUUGGAUUUCUAUCUCUUCUUGUUCGAGAGUUCUUCUUAAGGUAUAAAUAUAAGAUUCGGUGAUGAAAUUUUUUUUAGAUUUGGGAGAAUGUGGUAUCUCGAAUGGUUAGCUGUCAGAAUAACUAUGGUAUUAGUGACUGGUCAAUACAUUUGUAGAGUGUCAGAACGAGUUAGAGUCGUUUUGGUGCGAAAUAGACAUGAAAAUAG